GGAGGGUGCGAGCGUUGUCCGGAAUCACUGGGCGUAAAGGGCGCGUAGGCGGCCUGCUAAGUUGCGGGUGAAAUCCCGGGGCUUAACUCCGGGGCUGCCAGUAAGACUGGCAGGCUAGAGCACGGUAGAGGCAGAUGGAAUUCCCGGUGUAGCGGUGGAAUGCGUAGAGGAUCGGGAAGAACACCAGUGGCGAAGGCGAUCUGCUGGGCCGUUGCUGACGCUGAGGCGCGACAGCGUGGGGAGCAAACAGGAUUAGAUACCCUGGUAGUCCACGCCGUAAACGAUGGACACUAGGCGUCGGGGGGAGCGACCCUCCCGGUGCCGUCGCUAACGCAAUAAGUGUCCCGCCUGGGGAGUACGGCCGCAAGGCUG
rnacentral:rRNA from 1 species